GGGGAUUUAGCUCAGCGGUAGAGCACUUGCCUAGCAAGCGCAAGGCCCUGGGUUCGGUUCCCAGCUCCG
rfam:Rattus norvegicus chromosome 19, whole genome shotgun sequence.